AAAAGUGUUUUUACCUCAAAAGAAACUUGACCAAACAUGAUAUAAGAAUCUCAUGUUCAAAUUAUAGAAAUAGAGAAAUUUCUAAUAACAACGCUUUCACUUAAAUAAAUUUUACAUGGUGCGAGUCCUAUUUAGUUAGACAAAUAGCUACAAGGUAUUAGAUGGUUAAACAACAAAAUAAAAAGCAGCAUUGGGAGCCC
rnacentral:lncRNA from 1 species